GCCCAACAGCUAGCCCGACCAUACAAAACCAACAAAAAACCAUAAAUAACCCCUAAUACAGUGAAUAAAACUAAACAAACCAUUUUUCCCCUUUAGUAUAGGUGAUAGAAAAGGAACUUAGGAGCAAUAGAGGAAGUACCGCAAGGGACCGCUGAAAGAGAAAUGAAACAACCCAGUAAAGCUUAGAAAAAGCAGAGAUAUAGACUCGUACCUUUUGCAUCAUGAUUUAGCUAGUGUAACCUAAGCAAAGCGCACUUUAGUUUAUUACCCGAAACUAAGUGAGCUACUCCAAGACAGCCUAUAUAAUUAGGGCCAACCCGUCUCUGUGGCAAAAGAGUGGGAAGAGCUUCGAGUAGAGGUGACAGACCUACCGAACUUAGUUAUAGCUGGUUGCCUAAGACUUGAAUAUAAGUUCAGCCCCUUAGCUUCUCCAUUUACAUUGGUUUAAUCCUUAAUGAAUACAAAGAAACUUAGGGAGUUAUUCGAAGGGGGUACAGCCCCUUCGAAGAAAGAUACAACUUUUACAGGAGGAUAAAGAUCAAAAUUACUAAGGCAAAAUACCCAAGUGGGCCUAAAAGCAGCCACCUUUAAAGAAAGCGUUAAAGCUCAAGUAUUAACCUACCCUCAAAUUCUGAUCAUCUAAUCUUAUUCCCCUAAUCUUACUAGGCCAUUCUAUACAACAUAUAGAAGUAACUAUGCUAAUAUGAGUAAUAAGAGAGCACAGCCUCUCUCCUAGCACACGUGUAAAUCGAAACGGACAAACCAUCGAAAUUUAACGGUCCCAAACAAAGAGGGAAUUGAGUAUAAAAAUCAAAGAACUAGAAAAUAUCUCAUCAUUAACCGUUACCCCCACACAGGUGUGCACUAUAAGGAAAGACUAAAAAAGAAAGAAGGAACUCGGCAAACAAUUUUAAGCCUCGCCUGUUUACCAAAAACAUCGCCUCUUGUAUGCUAUAAAAUAAGAGGUCCCGCCUGCCCUGUGACAUUAGUUUAACGGCCGCGGUAUUUUGACCGUGCGAAGGUAGCGCAAUCACUUGUCUAUUAAAUGUAGACCUGUAUGAAUGGCAAGACGAGGGCUUAACUGUCUCCUUUCUCAAGUCAAUGAAAUUGAUCUCCCCGUGCAGAAGCGGGGAUCUAACCAUAAGACGAGAAGACCCUAUGGAGCUUUAGAUGACAGAAUAGCCCAUGUUAAAAUCCCCUAAAUAAAGGCCUGAACAUAGUGGACCCUAUCCUUAUAUCUUUGGUUGGGGCGACCGCGGAGAAAUAAAUAACCUCCACGUGGAAUAGUAACACAGUUAUUUCACCCAAGAGCUGCAGCUCUAGUUAACAGAAUUUCUGACCAUAAGAUCCGGCAACGCCGAUCAACGGACCGAGUUACCCUAGGGAUAACAGCGCAAUCCCCUUUUAGAGCCCAUAUCGACAAGGGGGUUUACGACCUCGAUGUUGGAUCAGGACAUCCUAAUGGUGCAGCCGCUAUUAAGGGUUCGUUUGUUCAACGAUUAAAGUCCUACGUGAUCUGAGUUCAGACCGGAGUAAUCCAGGUCAGUUUCUAUCUAUGUUAUGUUCUUUUCUAGUACGAAAGGACCGAAAAGAAGAGGCCACUGCUUUAAGCAUGCCUUACCCCCACCUAAUGAAAUCAACUAAAUUAGGCAAGAGGCCAUACCCCUCUUGCCUAAGAUAACGGCAC
rnacentral:rRNA from 1 species